UACGUAGGGGGCAAGCGUUGUCCGGAAUCAUUGGGCGUAAAGGGCGCGUAGGCGGCCCGCUAAGUCGAACGUGAAAUCCCCAGGCUCAACCUGGGAACUGCGUCCGAUACUGGCAGGCUUGAAUCCGGGAGAGGGAUGUGGAAUUCCAGGUGUAGCGGUGAAAUGCGUAGAUAUCUGGAGGAACACCGGUGGCGAAGGCGGCAUCCUGGACAGGUAUUGACGCUGAGGAGCGAAAGCUAGGGGAGCAAACGGG
rnacentral:rRNA from 1 species